UGGCGGCAUGCCUAAUACAUGCAAGUCGAGCGAACAGAUGAAGUGCUUGCACUUCUGACGUUAGCGGCGAACGGGUGAGUAACACGUAAGGAAUCUACCUAUAAGCGGGGGAUAACAUUCGGAAACGGGUGCUAAUACCGCAUAAUAUCUUCUUCCGCAUGGAAGAAGAUUGAAAGACGGCUCUGCUGUCACUUAUAGAUGACCUUGCGGUGCAUUAGUUAGUUGGUGGGGUAACGGCCUACCAAGACGAUGAUGCAUAGCCGACCUGAGAGGGUGAUCGGCCACAUUGGGACUGAGACACGGCCCAAACUCCUACGGGAGGCAGCAGUAGGGAAUCUUCCGCAAUGGGCGAAAGCCUGACGGAGCAAUGCCGCGUGAGUGAAGAAGGCCUUCGGGUCGUAAAACUCUGUUAUAAGAGAAGAACAAAUUGUAGAGUAACUGCUACAGUCUUGACGGUAUCUUAUCAGAAAGCCACGGCUAACUACGUGCCAGCAGCCGCGGUAAUACGUAGGUGGCAAGCGUUGUCCGGAUUUAUUGGGCGUAAAGGGAGCGCAGGUGGUUUCUUAAGUCUGAUGUGAAAGCCCACGGCUUAACCGUGGAGGGUCAUUGGAAACUGGGAAACUUGAGUACAGGAGAGGAAUGUGGAACUCCAUGUGUAGCGGUGGAAUGCGUAGAUAUAUGGAAGAACACCAGUGGCGAAGGCGACAUUCUGGUCUGUUACUGACACUGAGGCUCGAAAGCGUGGGGA
rnacentral:rRNA from 1 species